AGUACCUUUUUCUAAAAUUAGAUAUAAGUAUCUGACGCUAUGUAAUUUUCGAAAUUUAGGUACUGAUUUUAUAACUGCGCUGUAAUCACUGAUUGUAUUCUUUAGUUUUGUAGCACAGCUUAUUUAUAUCCUUGGAUAAAACAGUGCCUCAAUUCUUCAUUAAAUUAUUAAAUUUAUAAUAUCAUAGGACGGCUUUCGAGUCCAUAUACCAUAUAUAUAAGAUGCAUGAUUACAAACUUCACCAGUUGGCAAAAAUUGAUUUUUUUUAUUUAGAAUGUGUGUCGUCGCUUUUUAGCCAUUAUAUAUCUUGUUAAAAUGGUUCUAUUUUUAGCCACAAACAUGAAUUUUGCCUGUUCCAUGUAUCAGGCCAUUCCAAGUUUUUUCUAUGUUUAGCGUCCGCGGACGGAUUGGUUUUGAGAGGUAAAAAUUAAAAAAAAAAC
rnacentral:sRNA from 1 species